CUUUCCAGAGAUGGACUGGUGCCUUCGGGAACUGUGAGACAGGUGCUGCAUGGCUGUCGUCAGCUCGUGUUGUGAAAUGUUGGGUUAAGUCCCGCAACGAGCGCAACCCUUAUCCUUUGUUGCCAGCGGUUAGGCCGGGAACUCAAAGGAGACUGCCAGUGAUAAACUGGAGGAAGGUGGGGAUGACGUCAAGUCAUCAUGGCCCUUACGACCAGGGCUACACACGUGCUACAAUGGCGCAUACAAAGAGAAGCGACCUCGC
rnacentral:rRNA from 1 species